rfam:Mesocricetus auratus contig080286, whole genome shotgun sequence.
GGAGAGAUGGAUCAGUGGUUAAGAGCACUGACUGUACUUUCAGAGGACCUGGGUUCAAUUCCCAGCAUCUACA